AGUGAACGCUGGCGGUAGGCCUAACACAUGCAAGUCGAACGGCAGCACAGUAAGAGCUUGCUCUUACGGGUGGCGAGUGGCGGACGGGUGAGGAAUACAUCGGAAUCUACUUUUUCGUGGGGGAUAACGUAGGGAAACUUACGCUAAUACCGCAUACGACUUACGGGUGAAAGCAGGGGAUCUUCGGACCUCGCGCGAUUGAAUGAGCCGAUGUCGGAUUAGCUAGUUGGCGGGGUAAAGGCCCACCAAGGCGACGAUCCGUAGCUGGUCUGAGAGGAUGAUCAGCCACACUGGAACUGAGACACGGUCCAGACUCCUACGGGAGGCAGCAGUGGGGAAUAUUGGACAAUGGGCGCAAGCCUGAUCCAGCCAUACCGCGUGGGUGAAGAAGGCCUUCGGGUUGUAAAGCCCUUUUGUUGGGAAAGAAAAGCAGCAGGUUAAUACCCCGCUGUUCUGACGGUACCCAAAGAAUAAGCACCGGCUAACUUCGUG
rnacentral:rRNA from 1 species